rnacentral:rRNA from 1 species
CAUCGGAACGUACCUUAUCGUGGGGGAUAACGCAGCGAAAGCUGUGCUAAUACCGCAUACGCCCUAAGGGGGAAAGCGGGGGAUCGAAAGACCUCGCGCGAUUAGAGCGGCCGAUGCCUGAUUAGCUUGUUGGUGGGGUAAAAGCCCACCAAGGCGACGAUCAGUAGCUGGUCUGAGAGGACGAUCAGCCACACUGGGACUGAGACACGGCCCAGACUCCUACGGGAGGCAGCAGUGGGGAAUUUUGGACAAUGGGGCAACCCUGAUCCAGCAAUGCCGCGUGAGUGAAGAAGGCCUUCGGGUUGUAAAGCUCUUUUGUCAGGGAAGAAACACCGGCUCUAACACAGUCCGGGAAUGACGGUACCUGAAGAAUAAGCACCGGCUAACUACGUGCCAGCAGCCGCGGUAAUACGUAGGGUGCGAGCGUUAAUCGGAAUUACUGGGCGUAAAGCGUGCGCAGGCGGUUAUACAAGACAGGCGUGAAAUCCCCGGGCUUAACCUGGGAAUGGCGCCUGUGACUGUAUAGCUAGAGUGUGUCAGAGGGGGGUAGAAUUCCACGUGUAGCAGUGAAAUGCGUAGAUAUGUGGAGGAAUACCAAUGGCGAAGGCAGCCCCCUGGGAUAACACUGACGCUCAUGCACGAAAGCGUGGGGAGCAAACAGGAUUAGAUACCCUGGUAGUCCACGCCCUAAACGAUGCUGACUAGUUGUUCGGGAUUUACAUCCUGAGUAACGUAGCUAACGCGUGAAGUCAGCCGCCUGGGGAGUACGGUCGCAAGAUUAAAACUCAAAGGAAUUGACGGGGACCCGCACAAGCGGUGGAUGAUGUGGAUUAAUUCGAUGCAACGCGAAAAACCUUACCUACCCUUGACAUGUCACUAACGAAGUAGAGAUACAUUAUGUGCCCGUAAAGGAAAGUGAACACAGGUGCUGCAUGGCUGUCGUCAGCUCGUGUCGUGAGA